ensembl:snRNA U6 U6 spliceosomal RNA
GUGAUCCUUUCAGCAGCACAUAUACUAAAAUUGGAAUGAUACAGAGAAGAUUAGCAUGGCCCGUAUGCAAGUAUGACAUGGAAAUUUGUGAAGCAUUCCAUAUUUUU